AUGUAAGUUUUUGCGUGAUUUUUUAUUUAUUUAAAUAAUAAAUGAUUUUUAUUAUAAUCUCAGUAAUUAAUUUUAUUAAUCAAAGAAAUUUGGAAAUAGUAAUUUUUAUAAAGUAUUGGUUAAAUUUGUGCCAGCAGCCGCGGUUAUACAAAUAAUGCAAAUAAAAUCUGUUCAGUGAAAGUUAAUUAUUUAUUGAUUUUAAAAUAAAUAUAAAUAUAAGUUUAUUAAGUGAAAUUUUAAAUUUAUAAAAUUUUAUUUUUUAAAAAAUUAUUGAAGCUUAAAAAUUUUAAUUAAAAACUAGGAUUAGAUACCCUAUUAUUUAAAAUGUAUUAAAAAUCACUUAGGUAGUAUUAGUUAUGUUCUUGAAACUUAAAAAAUUUGGCGGUAUUUUAGUCUAUUCAGAGGAACCUGUCCUGUAAUUGAUAAUCCACGAUGUACCUCACUUAAAUUUGUUUUUCAGUUUAUAUACCGUCGUUAUUAGAAUAUUUUAUUAGAAUAAUAAUUUUCAAUAAUUUAAAUUAUAAUUUAUAUCAGAUCAAGGUGUAGCUUAUGUUUAAGUAGAGAUGGGUUACAAUAAAUUUAUUUAAACGGAUUUAAUUUUUAAAUAAUUUAAUGAAGGUGGAUUUGAUAGUAAAAAUUAAAAGAUUAUAGUUUUGAUUUUAGCUCUAAAAUAUGUACACAUCGCCCGUCACUCUUACUAUUAAGGUAAGAUAAGUCGUAACAUAGUAGAUGUA
rnacentral:rRNA from 1 species